GAUGAACGCUGGCGGCGUGCCUAAUACAUGCAAGUCGAGCGAACGGACGAGAAGAUCGCUUCUCUGAUGUUAGCGGCGGACGGGCGAGUAACACGUGGAUAACCUACCUCUAUGACUGGGAUAAUUUCGGGAAACAGGAGCUAAUACCGGAUGAUACUUUGAACCGCAUGGUUCAAAAGUGAAAGACGGUCUUGCUGUCACUUAUAGAUGGAUCCGCGCUGCAUUAGCUAGUUGGUAAGGUAACGGCUUACCAAGGCAACGAUGCAUAGCCGACCUGAGAGGGUGAUCAGCCACACUGGAACUGAGACACGGUCCAGACUCCUACGGGAGGCAGCAGUAGGGAAUCUUCCGCAAUGGGCGAAAGCCUGACGGAGCAACGCCGCGUGAGUGAUGAAGGUCUUCGGAUCGUAAAACUCUUUUAUUAGGGAAGAACAUAUGUGUGAGUAACUGUGCACGUCUUGACGGUACCUAAUCAGAAAGCCACGGCUAACUACGUG
rnacentral:rRNA from 1 species